AGAGGAAGUAAAAGUCGUAACAAGGUUUCCGUAGGUGAACCUGCGGAAGGRUCAUUAACGAAUUACAACGUUUGUUGAAACCCACUCUGCGUAUCUCUACAUGUUGCUUCCCCCCGCUGGGUUCUCUCCGGGCGGGGGGGAGGGAACCGCAAACUCCUGCAAUCGAAGCAAUCGGUCUGAAGAAAAACCUGUUUGUAUUCAAACGUUUUAAAACUUUCAACAACGGAUCUCUUGGUUCUCCCAUCGAUGARGAACGCAGCGAAAUGCGAUAAGUAGUGUGAAUUGCAGAAUUCAGUGAAUCAUCGAAUCUUUGAACGCACAUUGCGCCCUCCGGUAUUCCGGGGGGCAUGCCUGUUCGAGCGUCAUCAAAACCACUCAGGUUGGGGGCUUUUCAAAACCCCGGCUUGGUCUUGGGCACGAGGGAUCAGAACCCUCAGCCUGGAAUGCAGUGGCGGAUAUUCCGGCUUGGCAAGAGCGUGAUAAAAACGUCGUUCGCGAUUGGAGGCCGGAAUGCGCAGCCAUAAUAAACACCCAAACCAUGUCCCAAGUUUGACCUCGGAUCAGGUAGGGAUACCCGCUGAACUUAAGCAUAUC
rnacentral:rRNA from 1 species